UUUGAUACCUUUUGUGAUCACUAAACUUUCUGCAACAGAAUUAAAAGACGGCAGGCUCUUCGGCAGGAUAAAAGUCUACGCCACUAUCUCCAUCUCCGGUGGCCCUCCAACGCAUAACACGGAGUUCACAACCCAUGUCGAUAUGGAAGGAAACAACAAUCCCAGAUGGAACACUGUCAUGGAUUUUAGACUCCAUGACCCAUCUCUCCCAAACAACCUCCUCUAUCUCAAUUUCAACUUCCAUUGUCGUCGAAACUUGGGUUACAAAUUCAUCGGCGGAGUCAUUGUCCUCAUCAAUCACCUCUUCGCCAUGAUAUCUAGUAAUAAGACCGCUUCUCAGGCGGUCUAGUAUCCAGUUAUGAUGUCUUCUAGGGAGUUGCGUGGCUUUGUAAACUUUUGUUUCGGAUUUGGGAACUCAAUUUGUCCAUUGGGACCGCAACAACCGGCUCUGCGGUGGCAACCACCACCACCACCGCAUGGUAGUAAUGCUCAGGCCAAUGAUGAUCAAGCCAAUCAAUUUGAUGAUGAUGAUCAAGCCAAUCUAUGAGUGCAGAUCCUCUGCCAUGGUUCCUGCUGUGCUCUCCAAAACAACGUCGUUUUGUUUAGUUAUUUUUUUUCCUUUAAAUUAUUUGGUUUCCCGCUCUUCUCUUUUCUCUUCUCUUCUCUUUUCUUUUAUUUGUUUUGUUCCAUAUAACCUAACAGAGAGAGAGACGAAUUGAGAGACCAAGGAGGAGGCGGAGGGCUGUGACGACGAAGGAGAAACGCAGUGGAUGGCAGGCGAUGGUGACUCCGGUGGUGACGCGACAGCAACAAGGCGAGAUUGCAGCGGCAGGGACGAGGUAAUGGAACAAAAUAAUGUUGUCAAUGAUUGGAAGCCGAGAUUGGGGAUGUCAGUUGAUUGUGAACAAGCUGCAUAUGACUUUUAUAAUACCUAUGGAGGAAAAGUGGACUUCAAUAUGGCUAAUGCAAAUAAGAACAAACAUACCAAGAAAACAACUUCACGGACUUUUGUGUGUUACAAAGAGGCAAGGUGUUGACAAGAGUUGCCAAUGUGAUAAAAAAGUAGACAAUGUAUGUAAUUUUUUCAAAUGUUGUUGUAAUUGACUAGACUUCAAUAUUGUUGUAUGUAACUAUUUUCAAUGUUGUAAUUAAAUAAAGUUUCAUUGUUGUAUUUAAA